GCCUGCCAGGACCCAGAGGGAGCGGAGCACGCGCCUUUGGGAAUCUUCGGUGCGCCAAGUCUGUUCGCCGCCGGGGUCUAUCACCCCCGCCCCUCGCCUCUGCCCGUGAGCGUGUGAGUUGUAGCGUACCCUGGGGUCUGUUCUGGAGGAGGCCUGAGAGCGGGGUUGCCUGGGGCGUGGGUCUCUCAUCCCUCUCGUCCUGGUGAAGAAGAAGAGUAUACCCAGCGGCUGGCUUGGCUUUUUCAGAGGAAACAGAGACUCUCAGACAUGAAUACUGUGACACUGACCACCAGGCCAACUUAACAUCAGCAGAUAUCCUGUCUCAGAUGAAGAGAAUGGCCUGUCCAGAAGACAGCCAAAUACAUCCUUCAAACAGACUUCACUGCAGGAGACAGAGUGGAUUCAUCCUGUAUUCUCCAUGUAGACUUCCAUCUUCAUGAGUACUCCAAGAAGAUGGUUCAGUUGACUAUUGCAAAGUCUCAGGUAUGUCUUUAUCAGCAGCAUGAAAAUGGACUAAUAGUACCAGUAGAGUGGGGCAUUGCUGAAAAGAUACCCGAAAAUGUGGAAGCAACUUUGGAACUGGGUGUUGAAAUAAUCUGGAGGGCUCAGAAGAAGAUAGGAAAAUGUAGGAAAGUUUGGAACCUCCUAGAGACUGUGAAUGGCAUUGACAAAAAUACUGAUAGUGAUAUGAACAAUAAGGUCCAGGCUGAGGUGGUCUCAGAUGGAGAUGAAGACCUUGUUGGGAACUGAAGUAAAGGUGACCCUUGUUAUGUUUUAGCAAGGAGACUGGCAGCAUUUCACCCUUGCCCUAGAGAUUUGUGGAACUUAGAGCUUGAGAGAGAUGACUUAGGGUAUCUGGUGGAAUAAAUUUCUAAGCAGCAAAGCAUUCAAAAGGUGACUUGGGUGCUGUUAAAAACAUUCUGUUUUAAAAGGGAAACAAGAGCAUAAAUGUGGAAAAUCUGCAGCCUGAUGAUGCAGUAGAAAAGAAAAACCCAUUUUUUUUAAGGAGAAAUUCAAGCUGGCUGCAGAAAUUUGCAUAAGCAGCAAGGAGCCUAAUGUUAAUCCCCAAGACCAUGGGGAAAAUGUCUCCAGGUCAUGUCAGAGACCUUCAUGGCAGCCCCUCCCAUCACAGGCCCAGAGGCCCAGGAGGAAAAAGUGGUUUUGUGGGCUGGGCCCAGGGUCUCUGUGCUGUGUGCAGCCUAGGGACUUGGUGCCCUGUGUCCCAGCUGCUCCAGCCAUGGCUGAAAGGAGCCAACAUAGAGCUUGGGCUGUGGCUUCAGAGGGUAGAGGCCCCAAGCAUUGGCAGCUUCCAUGUGAUGUUGAGCCUGUGGGUGCAGAGAUGUCAAGAAUUGAGAUUUGGGAACCUCUGCCUAGAUUUCAGAAUAUAUAUGGAAACACCUGGAUGUCCAGGCAAAAGUUUGCUGCAGGGGCAGAGCCCUCAUGGGGAACCUCUCCUAGGGCAGUGUGGAAGGGAAAUGUGGGGCAGAGCCCCCACACAGAGUCCCUGUUGGGGCACUGCCUAGUGGAGCUGUGAGAAGAAGGCCACAGUCCCAGAACGGUAGACCCCAGAAUGGUAGACCCCAGAAUGGUAGAUCAACCACCAACUUGCAUCUUGUGCCUGGAAAAGCUACAGACACUCAACAUCAGCCUGAGAAAGCAGCCAGGAGGGAGGCUGUACUCUGCAAAGCCACAGGGGCGGAGCUGCACAAGACCAUGGGAACCUAUCUCUUGCAUCAGCAUGACCUGAAUGUGAGACAUGGAGUCAAAGGAGAUCAUUAUGGAGCUUUAAAAUUUGACUGCCCCACUGGAUUUCAGACUUGCAUGGACCCUGUAACCCCUUUGUUUUGGCCAAUUUCUCUCAUUUGGAACAGCUGUAUUUACCCAAUACCUGUACCCCCCAUUGUAUCUAGGAGGUAACUAGCUUGCUUUUACAGGCUUGUAAGUGGAAGGGACUUGCCUUGUCUCAGAUGAGACUUUGGACUGUGGACUUUUGGGUUAAUGCUGAAAUGAGUUAAGACUUUGGGGAACUGUUGGGAAGGAAUGAUUGGUUUUGAAAUGUGAGGAUUAUGAAAUUUGGAGGAGCCCAGGGAGGAAUGAUAUGGUUUGGCUGUGUCCCCACCCAAAUCUCAACUUGAAUUGUAUCUCCCAGAAUUCCCACAUGUUGUGGGAGGGACGCAGUGGGAGGUAAUUGAAUCAUGGAGGCCAGUCUUUUCUGUGCUAUUCUCGUGAUAAUAAGUCCCACAAGAUCUGGUGGGUUUAUGAAGAGUUUCUGCUUUUGCUUCUUCCUCAUUUUGCUCUUGAUGCCACCACGUAAGAAGUACCUUUUGCCUCCCACCUGAUUUUGAGGCCUCCCCAGCCAUGUGGAA
ensembl:lncRNA ENTPD1-AS1 ENTPD1 antisense RNA 1